UAACGAUACGGGACUCANCCGAGGCCCCGUAAUCGGAAUGAGUACACUCUAAACCCUUUAACGAGGAUCAAUUGGAGGGCAAGUCUGGUGCCAGCAGCCGCGGUAAUUCCAGCUCCAAUAGCGUAUAUAAAAGUUGUUGCGGUUAAAAAGCUCGUAGUCGAAUCUGUGUCUCGCGCCGCCGGUGCAUCGCUCGCGGUGUUUAACUGGCGUGUCCGCGAGACGUCCUGCCGGUGGGCUUAGCCCGGCAACGGGCGGCCCAACUUGAAAUCCCACCGCGGUGCUCUUGAUUGAGUGUCGAGGUGGGCCGGCACGUUUACUUUGAACAAAUUAGAGUGCUUAAAGCAGGCUAAAACUUCGCCUGAAUACUGUGUGCAUGGAAUAAUGGAAUAGGACCUCGGUUCUAUUUUGUUGGUUUUCGGAACCCCGAGGUAAUGAUUAAUAGGAACGGAUGGGGGCAUUCGUAUUGCGACGUUAGAGGUGAAAUUCUUGGAUCGUCGCAAGACGGACAGAAGCGAAAGCAUUUGCCAAAAACGCUUUCAUUGAUCAAGAACGAAAGUUAGAGGUUCGAAGGCGAUCAGAUACCGCCCUAGUUCUAACCAUAAACGAUGCCAGCUAGCGAUCCGCCGACGUUCCUCCGAUGACUCGGCGGGCAGCUUCCGGGAAACCAAAGCUUUUGGGUUCCGGGG
rnacentral:rRNA from 1 species